rfam:Zea mays cultivar B73 chromosome 1, whole genome shotgun sequence.
GAGGAUGAUGAUAUGGUUUUUGUCGCCCCAGUCUUAGGAUCCGGACUUCCGGACCUUUGCUGAUUGACAUGUUAUCGUUUCUGACUC